ACAGAGGGGGCAAGCGUUGUUCGGAAUUACUGGGCGUAAAGGGCGCGUAGGCGGCCAACUCAGUCGGACGUGAAAUCCCCUGGCUCAACCAGGGAACUGCGUCCGAUACUGGCUGGCUUGAAUCCGGGAGAGGGAUGUGGAAUUCCAGGUGUAGCGGUGAAAUGCGUAGAUAUCUGGAGGAACACCGGUGGCGAAGGCGGCAUCCUGGACCGGUAUUGACGCUGAGGCGCGAAAGCCAGGGGAGCAAACGGGA
rnacentral:rRNA from 1 species